rnacentral:tRNA from 1 species
AGGCUUUAGCUUAAUUAAAGUGUCUGAGUUGCAUUCAGGAGAUGUAGUUAUGAUUUACAGGUCUUCA